CAAACCGCUGCUCCAGUGCUGCACCCACAAGCUGCUGGUUCUACAAAGAGCUGGACGCCAUACUUGGUGGCGACUCCACCUCCAUUGCGAAGGCCACUGUGGAUACUUCGGUGGCUCACAUGCCAGUCAAGAGUGGACCGAGCCAGGAGGAGGAAAUCUUAGACAAGUAUGUGGAGGGGGACCCAGAGGCAGAAGACAGCUCAGAGAUCAGUGAUGCAUGCAGCCCGGAGUUCUUCUGUACUCCAGAGGAGGCUAGCCGGUCACAGCUGUCAGAGCCUGGCAAAGCGCAAACAGGAGAGGAGGCCCCUGAUAUGACGUUGGGAGCCCAGCCCCCCUCUUUGUUAUCUCUGGCUGAACGGCUGCCCAGAAUAAGAAAGCAGCCAUGAAGAACUAAGGAGGACUUUCUGCGUGAUGUCAUGAUGCACUCCACCGCUAAGAAACAGGAAUUGAAGGAGGGGAGGGACAGCAAGAAGAGGGACUGAAAGGAGAACGCGGCAGGCCAUAAUAAGCCACUGAGCAGCUCUUUAACAUUAUGGAGCACCAAGCAGACAUGCUCCAGGCACUGCUAGCACUGCAAACCAAGCAGCUCCGCACCCACCCUCCCCUGCAGCCACUGUCGCAAAAUUCUUUCCACUGUAUCCCCCUGACACCGCCAACACACUCUUAUCAGCCUCCUGGCUCCAGUCUGUACUCACUGCAUUCCACUCCUGCCCUGUCACAGUUCAGCCCUGUGGACUCCCAGUACCCACUGCACUCAACACCCAUCCCUCUGCAGGUUAGCCCUGAUGAAGUACUGUACCCGCUGCACUGUGCUCCAGAGGAGAAGGUUGGAUAUGAUACCUGGACAUACACAAACCUUUAACCGCCCCGGGACCCCAUCUCCUGGGACCCUCCCUUACCCCAUCCUCCUCAGUGCUGAUGUGUUCUUUUUGGUUGUCUCUCUCCUCCAGUUGUUGUUUUUUAAUAAAAUAAUUGUUUGGGUUUGAAAGCAA